UACGGGGGGGGCAAGCGUUGUUCGGAAUUACUGGGCGUAAAGGGCGCGUAGGCGGCCUUCUAAGUCAGACGUGAAAUCCCUCGGCUUAACCGAGGAACUGCGUCUGAUACUGGAAGGCUUGAAUCCGGGAGAGGGAUGUGGAAUUCCAGGUGUAGCGGUGAAAUGCGUAGAUAUCUGGAGGAACACCGGUGGCGAAGGCGGCAUCCUGGACCGGUAUUGACGCUGAGGCGCGAAAGCUAGGGGAGCAAACGGG
rnacentral:rRNA from 1 species